rnacentral:lncRNA from 1 species
UUUCUUUCUUCCUUUGUCAUAAAAAUAAGAAGAGAAAGAAGGGUAAGGAAAGAAUCCAUCAAGAACCAAAUUUCAUGAAAGGAUUUGAACCGAGUCAAAUUCAAAACAAUAAAUAAGUGUCAUUAAAUCAUGCUUUAAUUUUAACAAAGAGAAGGGAUUUAUGAAAAGGAUCAAGAUAUCCAUAUGAAAUCAAAUCCCCAUUCUUGCAAGUGAUCAUCACACACUAUAAAUUCAUAAAAUUUUUCUUUCAUGAGAAGAGUAAGGAAGAAUUCACAGGAAAGAAGCAUCAUAUGAAGGAUAAAAAAAAUUCUAUGAAUAAACCUUCAUAAAUCAUAUAUGUUUCUCAUUAAAACUUCAUAAGAGUGAAAUCCGUGAGAGAUGCAUUUGUUAAUGAAUUCCAUGUAUCAGACAUCAUUAAGUUUUUAUAAAGUAAAUUUGAUACUAAGUAGAUUCAUAUUUCAGAUUUUAUGAAAUCCUUAUUUAUGAAAUAAUUUCAUGAAAGCUUUAAAGAAUCGAGAAAGUCCGGAAAAGAAAUACAUCAAAUUCAUGCAUUAGGACAAAUUAGCAUUCCUAACUCCUUUAUAAUAAAAUCAAAUUAUUCUUCACUUAAAGGUUUUGUAAAGAUAUCAGCUAAUUGAUGUUUUGUAUCAAUAAACUCUAAGAUUACAUCAUGAUUAUUGACAUGAUCUCAUAUAAAGUGAUGCAUAAUGUCAAUAUGUUUAGUCAUAGAGUGUUGAAUAGGAUUUUUUGUUAAACAUAUUGGAUUAGUAUUAUCACAUUUUACGUGAAUAUUCUUAAGAUAAAUUCUAUAAUCUUCCAACGUAUUUUUCAUCCAUACAACUUGUGCACAACAUGCACUAGCCGCUAUGUAUUCGGCUUCGGUCGUAAAUAUAGCAAUCGAGUUUUAUUUCUUGGAAGACCAAGAGAUAAGUGCAUGACCUAAGAAUUGAUAUGUUUCGGAUGUGCUUUUUCUAUCUAAUCUACAUCCAGCAAAAUCCUCAUCAGCAUAAGCAAUCAAUACAAAGUUUCAUAUUUUGGAUACCAUAAUUCUAGAUUAAUGAUUCAUUUAAUAUAUCUAAGAAUUCUUUUAACUACUUUAAAAUGAGAUAGCUUAGGAUUAGAUUAAAACCUAGCACAAAGUCCUAUGCUAAACAUGAUGUCCGGUCUAGUUGUGAUGAGGUAUAGUAAACUACCUAUCAUGCCCCUAUAAGCUUUUUGAUCAAAGCUUUCUCCGCUUUCGUCAAUGUCUAACUUAGUGAAGGUACUCAUAGGAGUAUUGAUAGUAUUUGAAUUAUCCAUAUUAAACCAUUUUAGCAAGUCUAAUCAUAUUUUGUUUGACUAAGAAAAAUAUAAUUACCAAGUUGUUUGAUUUAUAAGCCUAAAAAGAAGGUUAGUUCACUCAUUAAGCUCAUUUCAAACUUUUAGCUCAUACUCUUGGCAAACGAUUCACAUAGAGAUUCAUUUGUAUAACCAAAAAUAAUAUUAUCAACAAAAAUUUGAACAACAAGAAAAUUAUUUUCAAAAUUUUUAAUAAACAAUGUAGUAUCGACUUUGCCUUUAGAGAAAUUACUUUGGAUAAGAAAUGAGCUAAGUCUCUCAUACCAAGCACUUGGGGCUUGUUUCAAUCUAUAGAGAGCUUUAGUCAAUUUAAACACAUGAUUAGGAAGAUUAUCAUUCUAAAAUCGGGAGGUUAUUCAACAUAAACUUCUUCGAAAAUAAAACCAUUAAGAAAAAUACUUUUAACAUCCAUUUAAAACAACUUAAAAUUAUUACUACUAGCAUAGGCAAUAAGCAUUCUUAUGGCUUCUAAUCAUGCCACAGGAGUGAAGGUUUCUUUAUAAUCGAUAUCUUCUUCUUAAUUGAAACCCUUGGCCACUAAUCUAGCCUUGUUUCUAACCACGAUACCAAAUUCAUCUUGCUUGUUUCUAAAGACCCAUUUAGCACCAAUAACUAAAUGGUUAUUUAGCCUUAGAAUAAGCUUCCACACCUCAUUUCUCUCAAAUUAAUUCAACUAUUUUUACAUUGCAAUAACCUAUGAAUCAUCUUUCAAGGCCUCGUUAAUGUACUUAGGUUCAAUUUGAGAAAGUGUUAGGACCCUUUUCCUGAGCUUUUGAAUAAUGUUUAUUGAGUCAGUUUAGUUCAGUUUUUUAUUGAGUCUAUUUAGUUAAGUUAGAGUCAGGUAGAAGUUUAUUUAAUAUUUAAUUAUUAUUAAGAGUCCAAGUCCUGGUGGACUCUAGGUGGAACUAUAUAAAUAGUGAUGUAACCCUUUCUUUAAAUCAAUCAAUGAAUAAAAUAUUAUUUCAGUGUUAUGACAAACCCUAGGAGGUCGAUCCCCUCGAAGCGAUCAAGGAGGCCGAUCCCCUCGAAGUGAUCAUUCUCAUUCCCUUUUCCCUUCUUUCUUUGACAAUAAGAUCUUAGGGUCUUAUCAUUUGGUAUAAGAGUAGCGAUCCUCGGCAUUCUUGCUGCAGUUCGUCAUCUCUAAAAAAAAAAAAAAAAAAAGAAAGAAAUAGAGAGAAGAGUUUGGCAACCAUCAGCUGCACCACUGCUUCCCUUCUCCACCUCUAUCGCUGCAGGGUAACCCGUUCUCCACCAUCGCCGUUGCUCCUCUACUAGUGAUCCUUGGCAUUCUUGUUGUAGUGAUUGACGUAGCUAUCAUAAAAAAAAAAAUUGUGAGAAAGGGUGAAGCCGGCAGCCACACACACUGUUCCUUCUCAACCGAGAAGGAACCUUUACUUCUCGGGGCCGACCACCACUGCCUCUUCUCCACCACCGGUGCUGCUUCCCGACUGAUGACCACUGCCACUACUGCUCCCUAGCCAGUGCCCACCGCUGCCGUUGCACCUUGGCUAGCAACCUUCUCUCCUCGCUUCCCCAUCUCGCUCAAGCAAGAAGGUCGCGACUGUUGUUUCGCAGCUAGCGGACCACAACUCAUAGCCGCCCAUUGGCGAUGCUGCCUUAGCUGCACCAUCGCUGCCAGCCAUUGCCAGUCGUGAUCAUUUGGCAUCGCCAGUGGCUUCCCCUAUGGUGCAGCAGAAACAGAGUAUCCUCUACUGCCAUAGCCGCCGGUCUCCCCUGCCGCUGCGAGUGCCAGUUGCCUCCCUCCUCGUGGCGACCCUUAGUGAUGCUGCUCCCAACAGCACCACCACCGCUGCCAGCUGCUACAAUCCUCUCCUCAUUGUUCCUAGCCCUCGGCGAGGCUUCAGCAUCGCCAACAGCUCCUUCUCCGAUGCACAAGAAACAAAGCCCUCUGUUGCCACAAGCCCCCCGUCGAUCCUUACUGUCGCUGCUGCUCCCCGGCCACCAACCUCUUCCUCUCCAGCACCACUGCCCCUACUUCCCGGAAGCUUGCACCCCUGCUGCAACCCACCGCACCUCUGCAUCAUUGCCACAGCCUCAACCCCCUUGCUCUACACCAUUGCCGCAGCCCCCUUUCCACCGUUGCCUCUACUUCCUGGCUGGCGACGUCUACCACUGAUUCCUCUUCUCCACCGUAGCCUCAACCUCAGCCACUUCAACAUCUCAACCCCCUUGCUUUGCAUCAUUGUUGCAGCCUCAACCCCCUUGCUCUGCAUCAUUGCCAUAGCCCCCGGUUGCCACCACUGCAGCCUCAACCCCGGCCACUUCAAUGCCACCUCCCACUUGUUUUGCCUCCGCUGCUGCAUUUGCUGGUUGCCAUCACCGCAGCCCAACCCGGCUACUUAGCAAUCGCUUCCUUGGGUCAUAGCAGCCGUAACCGUCACCUUUCAGCCUCGACGCUCUCAUCUCAUGCAGCGAGAGAAACACAGGGCAGCAACUCUUCCUCCAUCGCAGCCACCGCAGUAGCGAGCCCUUGGUGGCACUGCCCCAAACCGCACCACCAUCGCUACCUCUCACCAGUGCCUCCUUCCGUAGUGCGAUAGAGACAGAGCAACGCUGCCUUCCAUCUACGCUGUCACAGCCACCGCAGAGGCGAGCCCUUGGCGGUGCUACCCCCAACUGCACCACCAUCGCCACCUCCCAACCCUCAACAACAGCGAUCCCUCCAUGGAGUGACUGCAACAAGCAUCACUGCCUCCCAUGCAGCGACCGUAGCUACAUCCCCGCAUCCUCACAGCAACCCUUCAUUCCCACAGUGCUACCACCGACUGCAUCACAAUAGUAGCACCGGAUAGGGUAGUGAUUGAUGCCCUAGUCCUAACACCAAAAAUAGGAGUUGAGAUUACAGAUUUGCAGUCUUAUAUAAUGGCCACCGAUAACUCAGUGAAAGCACAAAUAGAAGCAUUGAAAAUCAGAAUUGAGAAUCAACUACAAGAAAUACUUAAUGAUUUAAAAAAAGCCUACUUGAGAGCCUCAACAAAUUUCAACAAGAUGGGAGCUUAAGUUCUACAUUACACAGAUAUGAAAAUACAGGAAAAGGGUCCCAAGAUUGUGACACAAACUACUUACACAUGAAGGUGGAAUUUCUGAGAUGGGAAGAUGGAGAUCCGACCAGUUGGAUCUUUAGGGCAGAAAAAUUUUUUCGUUUUCACAUAACUCCAGAAGAAUCCAAGGUGGAAAUAGCCUCGAUCCAACUAGAGGGUGAUAAAAUCCAGUGGUAUGAUUGGUACGAAACUUGCCAUGGAGUCUCCUCAUGGGAGUAAUUUAAGAGAAGACUUGUUAUUUGCUUUGGACCAUCUGAAUACGAGAAUGUUGAUGGACAGCUUGUCAAAAUUCAUCAGACUUCUACAGUGUUGGAAUAUCAGAGCAAGUUUGAAAUAUUGUCAAAUCAAGCUAGAGAUUGGUCAGAACGAUAACUUUUAGGUACAUUUAUUGAAGGGCUUAAUACGAAGAUUCGGUGUGAAGUUAAGGCUCGUCAACCCCGCACUAUGAUAGCUAUGAUUUCAUUUGCAUGCCUGCAUAAGGAAAAAAUCAGCAUGGAAUAUCGUCGAAAUAAAGGUGUCAAUAAAUAGGUGAUCAGCAAGCAGCACACCUCAUCUACUCCUAGUCGAAAUCCUAUCACUUGCAGACUAACCCAAGAAUAACUUAAAGAAAGAUCAGCGAAGGGUUUGUGCUAGCAUUGUGAUGAAACGUGGUGUAAGGAGCACCAAUGCAAACAAGGAAAACUUAUGAUGAUUGAACCGAUCAAGGAGGAAUCGAAAGCAGAAGAGUUGGACUCCAAUCAUGAAGGUGUGGAAACUAAUGAAGAUAUUGAAGCCAUCACACAUAUGGUGCAUGCAUUGGCUGGCUACGCUAACCCACAAACUAUGAAAAUCGGAGGAACUUUGAAGCAUCAACCUAUCACUAUUUUGAUUGGUACGGGUAGCACUAAUAAUUUUAUGGACAGGAAAGUUGCAGCCCGAUUAGCUUACCACAUUGAAGGCUAUGACAAAUUCAAAGUAAAGAUCACUGAUGGACGGAUUUUAACUUAUGAUAACAAAACUUUGGAAGUCACGGUUUUGAAAUUCACCACCGUGAUCACUCCAAAUUGAUGAAAUCAUGAAGCCUUUUUUGUUUUGAGUAAAUUUUUAAAAUUUAGAAAAAUAUUUGAAACAAUCAUUUUUAUAAACCAAGAAAUAGGUCCAAGUAUAUCUACUAUAGUCAUCUACAAUUACGAAGGCAUAUUUACUUCCUACUAGGCUCAUUGUGUCAAUUGAUCCAAAUAAAUCCAAAUGGAUCAAUUGCAAUGGUCUAGUGGUGCUAAUUUAAUUUUUUGGUUUGAAACUAGUUUUUAUUUGUUUUCCUAGUUGACAAGCAUCACACACUUUGUCCUUAACAAACUUCAUAUUGGGAAUCCCUCGUACUAACUCUCUAGAUGAAAUCUUAGAUAUUAGUUUCAUACUUGCAUGGCCUAAUCUCCUAUGCCAAAGUCAAGCAUCAUCAUUUAAAGCGAAAAAACACAUUUCAUUAUUAAGUUCAUCAAGGUUGAUGGUGUAGAUAUUAUUUUGUUUUAAGGUAAUCAUUGAUAUGUUAUUGUUUGGUUUUUCAAUAAUGCACACAUUAGAUUCAAAUCUAACGACGUAAUCUUUAUCGCAUAAUUGACUAAUGCUUAAGAGAUUAUGUUUUAAGCCAUCAACUAGCAACACAUCAUUAAUUGAAAAACUUAAUUUGUUACCUAUGGUUCCCUUGCUAAUAAUUUUACCUUUGUUGUUGUCUCCAAAGGUAACGUACCCUUCUUCUUUGCUAGUGAGCAUAGAGAAAUGAGAUGGAUCUCCGGUCAUGUGCCUUGAGCAUCCGCUAUCAAGAUACUAUCUCUUCUCUUAGCUUGUGAGUUUGUCUACAAAAGAGGAUGGUUUUUAGGUACCCAUUUGAAUUUAGGUACCUCAAAAAUUGAUCUACUAAUUUUAUCAAUCAUUACUGAAUUAUCUAUAGUUCCUUUAGGAACCCAUAUCAACUUAUGUGGACUAAUUUUCUUAAAUGGACAUUUGUAAACAACAUGUCCGGAUUUACAACAAAAGUUAAAAUUUCAAAUGAGGUGAAAUAUGUAAUGUGGGUCCUUUAACGAAGGUGGUAGGAUUUUGGUGAGAUCCUCUCACAAAACCAAUUCCACUUCUAUUUGUGAUGUGACCCUUGUUUGCAAGGAUCAUGUCCAAGCCUUUGCUUCCGACCUUAAACUUGUUUAAGGUCUCUUUAAGUAGCAAAUUCUCAUUUUUUAUUGCUUCUAAGUGUUCACACAUAGAGCAUGGAGGAGUUUGAAGACUAUCAAGCUUAUUUUGUAGUAAGGCAUGCUCUUUCUUUAAUAGAUUGAACUUUUUGCUAAUAAUUCUACACUCAUCAAAUAAUUCAUAAAAAGUGAUAGAAAGUUCAUCGAAAGAUAAAUCUUCAUUAAUUAAAUCACAUACCUCUCCUCCUAAAGCCAUUAGCGCGAAGUUUACCUCCUCUUUAUUGCUAGCUUCUUCAUUCUCAGAAUCACUUAAAUCAUCCCAAGUCGCUUUUAAAGCUUUUUUCUUCUUUGGUUGCUUCUUCUUGGCUUGGGGGCAUUCAUUUUUGAAGUGCCUCGGCUUCUUGCAUUCGUAGCAUAUUACUUAGUCCUUUUUAUGUUCAAGUUUGUUUUUGGUGUUAUUUUUAAAUUUAUUCUUUCUUAUAAAUUUUUAAAAUUUUUGAAUUAAAAGUGCAAUAUCAUCGUCACUGUCCUUAUCACUUGAUGUUCCUUUCAAGUGGUCUUCUUGUGUUACAAGUGUCAUAUCCUUCCUGUUCUUUGGAAGGGGGUUCUCGAGCUCUUCAUGAGCAUGACACGUCAUUUCGUAGGUCAUUAAAGACCCAAUAAGUUCUUUGAAAAGAAAUGUUUUAAGGUCCUUGGCCUCUUUAAAUGGCCGUAACUUUUAAAUCCCAACUCUUUGGAAGGGAUCUUAAAAUUUUAGUUACUAGUUCAAAGUUAGAAAAACCUUUACUAAGAGCUUUGAGUCCAUCGAUGACAUCCGUGAAAUGGGUGUACAUGUCUCCGAUGGACUCACUUGCUUUCAUCCGGAGAAGUUCAUAAUAAUGCACAAGAAUGUUGAUUUUGGACUCUUUCACUCGGCUAGUGUCUUCAUGAGUGACCUCAAGAGUUCUCCAAAUAUCAAAAGCCGAAUCACAAAUCAAAAUGCGAUUAAAUUCAUUUUUUUCAAGUGCACAAAACAAGGCAUUCAUAGCCUUUGCGUUUAAAGCAAAAACCUUCUUCUCCGAUUCAUCCCAUUCACUCAUCGGAAGAGAAGAUUUUUGAAAUCCAUUUUCGACAAUAGUCCAAAGCUCAAAAUCCAUAGAAAUAAGAAAGAUCUUCAUACAAGUCUUUCAAUACAUGUAAUUCGACCCAUUAAACAUAGGCGGACGUGUAAUAGAGUGACCCGCUUGCAUGCCGGAGUAAGCCAUCUCUCUUGGGUAUUAAACCAAAUAUGAGAGUGAGUCUUGCUCUGAUACCAAUUGUUAGGAUCGGAGUAGUACUAAGAGGUGGGGGUGAAUUAGUGCAGUAGAUUAAAACUCGCAAGUUUGAAAUCGAUUUCGUAAAUGUAUAGAGAUUUCGAUUCGAUGAAGGAUGACUUAUAAUUUUGAAAUCGAUUUCGUAAAAAUCACAAGAAUCAUCAUUUAUGAUUUUGAAAUAUAAACUCAUUAAGUAUGAUCAUUAUGAAUUAUUAGAUCAUUAAGCAUGGUUUCAUUGAACAUAAGGCAUAUUUAAUAAAAAUUGAAAAGCUAUACAGAAAUCAUCAAAAUACACAUUAUUGCUUCUUAAGAAUAUACAUAAGAUUAAUCUUAUUUAGUGUACAAGUAUUAGAUUUAUAUCUAACAUUUUGUUGUAUUUUCAUAAAACAUGCAAUUAUCAUUAUCAUUUUCAAAAUUACUUGCAUGAUCCCAAUAUUUUUUUUUAUUUUUUACUAACUAAUUAAAAAUAACUUAUAAAAGCCAUCAAGUAAUUUCAAAAUAAACCUAAGGGGUUUUGGUUACCUCAUUAUCGAAAGUCGUUAAGGCAUAGUUUGCCACCUUGUCUUUGUUGGUUUGCUUCUCGUAUUCGGAUGAGCUCGAUUCAUCCCAAAAUGUAUUGAAAACUUUCUUCUUCUUUGACAGCUUCUUCUUUUUAUAUUCAUUUUUUAUUCUUUGAUUCUUGUUUUAAAAUUUUUUUAAGCUUUAUUGUGAGAAGUUCAAAGUCAUCAUCACUUAAGUUUUUGCUCAAGUGGUCUUCUUGAGUUCUAAGUGCCAAAUCCUUCCUCUUUUUUGGAAUGUUGUUCUCAAGUUCAUCAUGUUCAUCAUAUGCCUUGCAUAUCAUUUCAUAUGUCCUCAAAGACCCAAUAAGUUCUUCAAUCAGAAAAUAGUUCAAGUUCUUUGAUUCUUAUAUUGUUGUUACUUUCAAAUCCUAAUUUUUAGAUAGUGUUCGUAAAACUUUAUUCACAAAUUCAAGAUUUGAAAAAAUUUUACCAAGAGCUUUUAGACUAUUAACGACAUCCGUAAAAUGGGUGUACAUGUCUUCAAUAGUCUCACCUGGUUCCAUAUAGAAUAAUUCAAAAUCAUGCAUUAAAAUAUUUAUUUUGAAGUCUCUAACUAUACUAGUGCCUUCAUGUGUGAUUUCGAGUGUGUGUCAAACGUCAAAAGUCGUUUCGUAAGUAGAAACCCGAUUUAAUUCAUUUUUGUCUAAGGCACAAAAUAGAGCAUUCAUAGCUGUAGAAUUUAAAGAAAAAGUCUUCUUCUCCAAAUUAUUUCAAUCGUUCAUUGGAAGAGAAGACCAUUAAAAUAUGUUUUCAACCAUAUUCCAAAAAUUUUAAUCAAUAGAAAGUAAGAAAACUCUCAUUCGAGUUUUCCAAUAUAUGUAGUCCGUCCCAUUAAACAUGGGAGGACGAACGAUAAAAAAGCCCUCUUUAAUAUCGAAAAGAGCCAUUUCUCUUAGGUGUUAAACUAAAGGAGAAAAAUAUGGCUUUGAUACUAACUAUUAGGAUCGAGUCAGCACUAAUGGGGGAGUGAAUUAGUGCAGUGGUAAAAAAUAUCGAUUUUAAAAAUAUUUUAUUCCAAUUAAAUAUGAUAUCCGACAAAGCCUGUAUUGGUAAUAUGUUUAACUUGAAAGUGUAUGGAAGUGUAGUGAAAGUAAAGUGGUUUGUAGUAAAGGUAAAUUGCAUAAAAGAAAUGUAAACCAGAUUUUUAUAGUGGUUCGGUCAUCGUGACCUACAUUCACUCUGCCAAUUCUCCUUCCAUCGAGGCCAUCGACAUCCACUAAUGAUCUUCUUUCAAUGGGAGAAGAUAAACUACCCUUUUAUCUCUUCUCCUUUUCACAGGUUUAGCAGACAACCUUUUACAACCCUCUUUUACAAGGUAUCCCUCACACACCUCCUUUAGAACUCUCUCUAAGCUUUAGGAGGAGGGAACUCAACUUUCUAAUAGGGUUUAUAACUUUAGAAUCAUAGAGUUUUGCUCAACUUUCUUGCUAUUCCAUGCAGGAAUAGUUGGGGUAUUUAUAGGCCUCAAGUGGGUUCAAACUUGGAGCCUAAAAAUGUCUUAUCCCUGAUUUUCGGGGUACUGGCGGUACCACCACUUGUGCUGAGCGGUACCACUACGUGACACCUUGCCACUGGGUAGUACCACUAUCCAGUCUGGCAGUACUAUCGCUUGACACUCUCUCGGAGACUAUGUCUGGGCGGUACCACCACCUGACACAAUCUCAGAGACAAUGCCAUGACGAUUCCACUUGUUAGGUCACUGUUUGGGUCUUUCACUUGGCCCAAUACAACCCAAACUUGGGCCCAACUGGCCCCUAAUUGAGUUGGCCCAAUUCCAAUCCAAGUACGCUUAAAACUUACUUCGAUCUAGACAAUUAUUACAAAGCUAAUCAAAUGUUAUAUGGUAUGUCAUUGGUUCAUUGAUGCCUCGUCUGAUUCUUCAGCGUAUCGUCUUCUCUUAUGGCCUAUUGCCCAAUCGGCUAUUUGACCUCCACAACUUUGAUUUUCUUGGUGCAUUUUCCGCUCUUCUUGGACCAAUGCCCGAUUUUAUGGCCCGAUGCCUUCUGUCGAUAUGUCGACUGAUCCUCUAUCUUGACUUCCAAUCUUAUGGCAUAUUCUACUCCGGCCCAACAUGAUUCUUUCUGCUUUAAUUGUCUCUCCAUGAUCGAAGCUUUCUACGUCACUCAAUGGUAGAUCAGAUAAACACUAUUAAUUGGCUUCAUUAUCAAAAUCUGAGAUUCAACACAUGCAUGGGAGAAAUGAUGAAUGUGUGGUAUCAUGAUCAAAAUGUUGAUUUAAUGCAUGAAGUGAUAUGCCUAAAAUGAUGUAUCAUGAAUGCUUUAGUAUUAUGUAUGAUAUAUCCAUAGUGAUAAUUGAUUUAUUUUUGGUAUCAUGCACGAUGUGAGGAUGUAAUGUAAGGUUUCGAAAUUGUGCAUGUUUUAAUUUGAAACUAUAAUGAUGCACAAACAUAUAAAAUUUUGAUUUGAUAUAUUGCAUUCGAUCCUUAUGAUCGAAAUUGUUUCACUUGAAUUCAAAGGUUAUGAUUCCUUUUGAAUUCAAGUUUACUUAUCUCAAUAUGGUAUAUAGAUAGGGGGAGUUAAGGAUAACUCCGUCAUCAAUUGGUUGUCAUCAUCAAAAAGGGGGAGAUUGUUGAAUCUCGGAUUUUGAUAAUGAAAUCAAUUGAUAAAUUAUUGAUCUAAUCCAUAUGUUGAGAUAAGUGUUGCAGGAUUAAUUUUCUGAUCAUUCUUUAAUGUACAUACACACAGAUAAAGCAACACCAAACGGCAAGAAACCGUUUAGAUUCUUCAACAUGUGGAGUACUCAUCCUCAGUUCCUUGAUGUUAUCAGAUCAGCUUAGAAUGUUAAUGCGAAUGGAUCCCCCCCUUACAUCUUAUGUCAAAAACUCAAAGCCUACAAAGCAACACUUAAGGAGUGGAAUACAUUUGGCAAUAUUACCACUCGAGUUCAAUUUUGCAAAAAGAAACUAAUAGCAAUGCAACAUGAGCUGCAACUUCAGCCCCAUGAUGAGAAUCUUAUCGAAAAAGAGACAGAAGCUAGAAAUAACUUCAUGCAAGCCUUCAAGCAGGAGAAAAGUUUUGCAAAACAGAAGUCUCGACAGCAUUGGCUUACUUUAGGGGAUUCCAAUACUAAGUUUUUUUAUGCUUCCAUUGCUACUCGAAGAGCCGUUAACCGCAUCAGGAAAUACAGAGACAAAGAUAACAAUAUUAUUGAGAAUUUAGAUGAGGUUAAAGCAUACACUGAGCAAUUUUUUUAUUCUUUACUCAACCAAGCGGGGCAACCUAAUAAUAUUCAUGUGGAGCCAACUAGAAAGCUUGAUUCGAGUGCCAUUUCUAUCCUCAAUGCCCCAAUUACAAAUGACGAAAUAGUAAGAGUUGUCUUUAAGUCACCAAAGCACAAAAGCCCUGGUCCAGACGGAUUUCCUACUGAAUUUUACCAAAUUACAUGGUCUAUUAUUGGUAAUGAUGUGAUUAAAGCUUGCCAACAUUUUUUCUCUUCAGAUCAUAUUCUUAGAGAGAUGAAUUACACUUUUAUUUCUUUAAUUCCCAAGAAUGCAGUAGCUGAUUCACUAGAGAACUAUCGACCCAUAUCUUUAUGCAACUUUAUUUACAAGAUCAUCUCCAAACUGUUAGCAGAUAGAUUGCAAAAGGUAAUACACAAGAUAAUCAGUCCAAAUCAGGCUGCUUUCAUCAAAGGGAGAAGUAUACAUCAUAAUAUUCUGCUUGCUAAUGACUUGGUCAAGGAUCUGCACUCAAAAACAAAAGGGACAAAAAUCUGUUUUAAAGCUGAUCUACGAAAAGCCUUUGACUCAAUUAAUAGGAACUUUAUCUAUAAGAUGCUCAACGAUAUGAACUUCCCUCAACAAUGGGUUAAUUGGAUUUAAUGUUGCUUAGAAACUUCAAAGUUUUCAAUACUCUUCAACGGCUCACCUAUUGAUUUUUUUGGGAGCAAGAAUGGCAUUCGACAAGGCGAUCCACUCUCUCCAUAUCUCUUUACAAUUGCAAUAGAAGGACUUAGCUAUAUGUUGGACUAUGCGGUCUCUGAUGGUAGUAUUAAGGUACCCCAUGCUGGCCCUAUUCAUAUAUCACAUAUAAUUUUUGCAGAUGAUCUUCUUAUCUUUCUUCAGAAUGAUUUAACUUCAGUAAGAAACCUGGCUACUAUUCUGAAUGAUUUUGGUAUAGUUUCUGGCCUUCAGUUAAAUCAUGUGAAAAGUAAAGUCUACAUGAGCCCUUGUAUUGAGGACAAAAAUGUUAUUGCACAUACCCUAGUGGUUAGUGAGGGAAAUCUGCCAGUUACAUAUCUUGGUCUCCCACUCAUAUCCACUGGCAUUCACAAAACCCACUGUCAGCCUAUCCUGCAAAAAAUAAAGAAUAGAAUUUCCUCCUGGAAAAAUAGGCUUCUUUCAAAAGCAGGACGACUUGAACUCAUCCGUUCGGUGUUGUACACUUACUCUAUAUAUUGGUCUAAUGCAUUUCUUCUGCCAAUUGGACUUCUCCAAGAUAUUGAACGGUUAUUAAUAAACUUCUUCUGGAAUGGCACAAAUGAUAAGACAAUGCAUAUGGUAAAUUGGGACAGCAUCUACAAACCGAAAGAUGAAGGGGGGCUGAACCUAAGAAAUACUAGAGAUUGGAAUAAAACAUGUUUGGUAAAGCAAUUGUGGGACCUUUUGUAAAACAAAUGUUCCUUAUGGUCAUAAUGGGUUUCUACUAGGUAUCUUUCAAAGGAAUCGAUUUGGGAAAUUUCAACAAGAACAUACCACUCUGCAGCUUGGAAAGGAAUUUUAAAGGCAAGGAAUUGGCUAAUCAAACACAUUUCUUAUGCAAUCUCUACUGGAACUAAUACUAAUAUGUGGUACGAUCCUUGGGUGAAUGGGAAAAGUAUAUUUCAAUUAUAUGGUGACAGAAUACGAAAAGACCUUGGGGCUCCCAAAGAUUGGAAGGUUUCCGAGUUCAUUGCUAAUGGUACCUGGUGUCUCCCUACUUCUAUUUCUCCUGAAAUGUUAUCACUUUGGCCAAC